CUUCCUUCCCACUUAUUACCAUACUCCUAUGCAGUGAAAUCAGGAUUCAGUGAUGAGGACCACAUCCUGUUGCCAUGGAAAUGAUUGUGCUGUCACAAAUAUAGUACUAUGACUUCAUGGUAAAGAGGAACAGAUGGUCUGGAAGAGAAUGAAGGCCUAAGGAAAGAAUCAACAAAGAAGCAAACCCAAGGCUGAUAUCCUUAGAAGAGGCUGCUUAAAGAUUGACUCUUUCCUGACAUCUGGGAACCUGGCUUGUGAAAAGUUCCCCAAACCAACAUGAAAAGUCUCCUGUAUUGAUAAGGCUGUUUUGCCCUUGAGGCACUGAAUUACCACUUCCUUCAGAGAGUCUGAUAUUUUGACAGUUUCCAGGCAGAGAAUGCCUUUUAGCACUAGCCCCCAAGAAAAACCCUAAACUCUGAGUCUCAAAUGGGACACACACACACACACACACACACACACACACACACACACAUUGAAUUCAUAUUGUCAUUGCCAACUUUAUUUAGAACCACAGGAUUUAUUUCAGUCUUCUCUGCUUGCUUGUUUGUAACUUUUUUCUCUGACAGUGAGAAAGCUGGCUUCCAUUAACUACAAUUUAUUUACUUAUUUGUUCAGCCUUAGUAUACAUGUAAAGUAGUUUCAGAACUGCUAACUUAUACUCCUGCCUGAAACAUAAUGACCAAUUAAAGAAAAGCAUUUAUGCACAGUUGAUUUUGCUUUAGCUUUACAGUAUCCAGUUAAAACACAUUUCCAAAGUUACUUAGGUCAGCUCCUUUUUCCCCAACCGUUUUAGUCAGGUUAUGUCAUAUAAUUGUAACACAGAUUUGUCAGUCUGCAUUUCAUCCUGGAAUCUCCCCACAUCGUGGUUGAUUUUUUAAAAAAAUGUACACAGUAAAUUUCACUUAGGUUUAUAAUACAUUAUACCUUAGUUAGAAUAAAUGUACCUUUUGUGAAUGUGGACAAAUGCAUAGAGUCAUGAAUCUACCACCACAGUAUCUUGCAAAACUGUUCUAUUACCCUAAAAAUUGUCUUGUGUGAUCCCUUCGCAGUCAACCUCUUCUCAACACAUGGCAACCACUGAUCUGUGUUAUCUGUCUCUAGAGCUUUGCCUUUUGCAGAAUGUCAUGUUAAUAAAAUAAAAUAGGUUGUGAUCUUUUAGGUCUGGCUUCUUUCACUUAGCAAAAAUUUAUUUAAGAUUCAUCUAUGUUGUUGUGUGAAUCAAUAGUUAAUUUCUUUUUAUUGCUGAGUAGUAUUCCAUUGCAUGAUAUACCACAAUAUGUUAAUCUGCUUACCUCUUGAGGAUAUCUCAGUUACUUCUAGUUUUUGGUAAUUAUGAACAAAGCUGCUAUAGAUAUUCA
rnacentral:lncRNA from 1 species